AAAUUGAAGAGUUUGAUCAUGGCUCAGAUUGAACGCUGGCGGCAGGCCUAACACAUGCAAGUCGAACGGUAACAGGAAGCAGCUUGCUGCUUCGCUGACGAGUGGCGGACGGGUGAGUAAUGUCUGGGAAACUGCCUGAUGAAGGGGGAUAACUACUGGAAACGGUAGCUAAUACCGCAUAAUGUCGCAAGACCAAAGAGGGGGACC
rnacentral:rRNA from 1 species